rnacentral:tRNA from 1 species
CCUGGUGGCUCAGAGGGUAAAGCGUCUACCUGCAAUGUGGGAGACCUGGGUUCGACCCCUGGGCCAGGA